rnacentral:misc_RNA from 1 species
GAUGAAGAACGUAGCGAAAUGCGAUAAGUAAUGUGAAUUGCAGAAUUCAGUGAAUCAUCGAAUCUUUGAACACACAUUGCGCCCGUCAGUAUUCUGGCGGGCAUGCCUGUUCGAGCGUCAUUACGCCCCUCAAGUCCCCUGUGGACUUGGUGUUGGGGAUCGGCGAGGCUGGUUUUCCAGCACAGCCGUCCCUUAAAUUAAUUGGCGGUCUCGCCGUGGCCCUCCUCUGCGCAGUAGUAAAACACUCGCAACAGGAGCCCGGCGCGGUCCACUGCCGUAAAACCCCCCAACUUUUUAUAGUUGACCUCGAAUCAGGUAGGACUACCCGCUGAACUUAAGCAUAUCAAUAAGCGGAGGA